rnacentral:rRNA from 1 species
GAAUAUUGCACAAUGGAGGAAACUCUGAUGCAGCGACGCCGCGUGAGUGAAGAAGGUUUUCGGAUCGUAAAACUCUGUCCUUGGUGAAGAUAAUGACGGUAGCCAAGGAGGAAGCCCCGGCUAACUACGUGCCCGACGCCGCGGUAAUACGUAGGGGGCGAGCGUUGUCCGGAUUUACUGGGCGUAAAGGGGGAGUAGGCGGUUAUAUAUGUCAGAUGUAAAAGGCUAUGGCUUAACCAUAGUUAGCAUUUGAAACUGUAUGACUUGAGUGCAGGAGAGGUAAGUGGAAUACCUAGUGUAGCGGUGAAAUGCGUAGAUAUUAGGAGGAACACCAGUGGCGAAGGCGACUUACUGGACUGUAACUGACGCUGAGUCACGAAAGCGUGGGUAGCAAACAGG